rnacentral:tRNA from 1 species
GGGUCCUUAGCUCAGGUUGGUAGAGCACCGCGCUCUUAACGCGGGGGUCGUGGGUUCAAAUCCCACAGGAUCCG